GCGGGACCCUGAGUGGGGGGGAGCGGACACACGAUGGGCCCUGGGGCAGCGCCCUGCCCCGCCGCCUCCCCCUCCAGGCAGCGCUGCGAGAUGCCAGAGCCCUCCUCCGCGCCCGGCCCUGCCGAGGGAGCCCGCCCCGCCAGCGGCUCCUCCUCCUCCCCGGCCGCCGCCGCUCUGCCAGCAGCCGGUCGGGCCUGAGACCCGCGCCCGGCGGCGGGGCCUGCUCUGAGCGCUGGCGGAGGGCGGGCGGGGGAGAGGUGAGGAAAAUCCAGCAAGGAAAAGCCCCGGAGACCGAGUCCGUCGCGUCACAUGAGCUGACAGGAUCCGUACCCGCUUCCCUCGGCGCAACAAAGAGCCGGGAGCCCUUCUGCCCGCCGCGGGACGGGGCUGCCAUGGGACCCUGAGGGCCGGCCCUCACAGGAUUCUUCUGCCCAUUGAUGAUUAAAACAGCGCCUGGAGUUUUGGAAUGGAUCAGAUGCGUCAAUCAAAUGUUACCGCAUUGCACCCAAAGAGAGGAAUGCCAUCCAGCUGGGGGGCUUUGCAGUUGCUCAUUGACUGCUGAACAGCAUGCAGUCCUUUCGCGAGCAAAAUAGUUAUCACGGAAACCAGCAGAGCUACCCACAGGAAGUGCACGGUUCAUCCCGACUGCAGCAGUUCAGUCCCCGGCAGCAGGCCCAGAUGUUCCAGAGCUUUGGAGGAGGUGCCGGCAGUGGACGUCGUGGAGCAACGGGAGCCUCUACAGCAAUGCCUGGUGAAAGCUCUGGCCAUCAGAGUUAUCAAGGUUUCAGAAAAGAAACAGGAGAGUUUUACUAUAUGUCUGCCAAUAAAGAUCCAGUAGUGUCAGGAGGGCAGCAGCCACCUCAGCGCAGGCCUUCUGGACCAGUACAGAGCUAUGGCCCCCCUCAAGGGAGUAGCUUUGGGAGUCAGUAUGGAAGUGAGGGACAUGUGGGCCAGUUUCAGACACAGCACUCGACCCUUGGGGGUGUAUCCCACUAUCAACAGGAUUAUACUGGUCCUUUUUCUCCAGGGAGUUCCCAGUAUCAGCAGCAGGCUUCUAGCCAGCAGCAAGUGCAGCAGCUGAGACAGCAGAUCUACCAAUCUCAUCAGCCUUUACCCCAGGCUUCCAGCCAGUCUGCUUCUAGCACCUCACACCUGCAGCCCAUGCAGCGUCCAUCCACCCUGCCUUCCUCUGCUUCUGGAUACCAGUUACGAGUGGGUCAGUUCAGCCAGCACUACCAGCCACCUUCGUCGUCGUCCUCCUCCUCAUUCCCGUCCCCACAGCGUUUUGGCCAGUCAGGACAGAAUUAUGAUGGAAGUUACAGCGUGAAUUCUGGCUCGCAGUAUGAAGGCCAUGCUGUGGGUUCCAAUGCACAGGCAUAUGGGACCCAGUCAAACUACAGCUUUCAGACUCAACCAAUGAAAAGCUUUGAGCAGUCAAAGCUGCCCCAAAGUGGGCAGCAGGGGCAGCAGCAACAGCAUCCACCUCAGCAUGUAAUGCAGUAUUCAAAUACUGCCACCAAGCUCUCUCUUCAAAGUCAAGUGGGACAGUACAGCCAGACCGAAGUUCCUGUAAGGUCACCGAUGCAGUUCCACCAAAACUUCAGUCCAAUCUCUAAUCCGUCUCCUGCUGCAUCUGUGGUUCAGUCUCCAAGCUGCAGUUCUACCCCUUCUCCACUCAUGCCAGGUGGAGAUAACCUCCAGUGUGGGCAAGGCAACAUGUCCAUGGGUUCUAGAAACCGAAUCCUGCAGAUGAUGCCUCAGCUGAGUCCUACACCAUCUAUGAUGCCAAGUCCCAAUGCUCAUGGAGGAGGAUUCAAGGGGUUUGGGAUGGAAGGACUGCAGGAGAAAAGGCUCACAGAUCCAGGGCUGAGCAGCCUGAGUGCUCUUAGUUCUCAAGUGGCCAAUCUGCCUAACACUGUCCAGCAUAUGUUGCUUUCAGAUGCCUUGGCACCUCAGAAGAAAAGUUCCAAAAGGUCAUCCUCUUCAAAGAAGGCCGACAGCUGCACCAACUCAGAAGGCUCCUCCCAGGCAGAGGAGCAGCUCAAGUCUCCCCUAGCAGAGUCCCUUGAUGGUGGCUGUUCCAGUAGUUCAGAGGAUCAUGGGGAAAGGGUGAGACAGCUGAGUGGCCAGAGCACCAGCUCAGACACCACUUACAAAGGAGGUAACUUAGAGAGAUCCAACUCCUCACCAGCACAGGGCUCUCAGAAUGAGCCAUCAAAACUCAGCAGCAGCCCUGCAGCUAGGGAAGAUGUGGCCUCCCCUGGCACAAAGGAAGCUGUGGUGGCUGUAGAAAAUGCCCCCAAAGUGAAUGAAAAGGCAGUUGGGGUGAUUGUCUCCCGGGAAGCCAUGACAGGAAGAGUAGAAAAGUCAGGUGGACAAGAUAAACCUGCACAGGAUGAUACUUCCACAGCCACUCAGGCACCAGCUAGUGCUAGUGGAGCAAAAGAAGCUGGGCAGGCAGGGACACAGCCAGAAACUCAAGGAGGAAGCAAAGGAAGCAAAAGUGGAGAUAACACUAACCAUAAUGGAGAGGGAAACAGCCAGCCUGGUCAUGCAGUUGUUGGGCCAAAUUUUCCUGCAAGAACAGAACCUUCCAAAUCUCCUGGCAGUUUAAGGUACAGUUACAAGGAUAACGUAGCAGCAGGUAUACAGAGAAAUAUUGGUGGCUUUCCACAGUAUCCUUCUAGUCAGGAAAAGCUGGAUUUUCCAGGGCACAGUGAGCGCAAAGGCCGGAAUGAGAAGUUUCCCAGCCUCCUGCAGGAGGUCUUACAGGGGUACCACCACCACCAUCCAGACAGAAGGUACUCCAGGAACGCACAAGAACAUUCUGGGAUGGCUGGGAGUUUGGAGGGAGCCAUGAGGCCUAAUAUCUUAAUCAGUCAAACCAAUGAAUUGACCAGUAGAGGCCUCUUAAACAAAAGCAUGGGGUCCCUCCUGGAAAGCCCUCACUGGGGUCCCUGGGAUAGGAAGUCUGGCAGUGCAGCUUCUGAUAUGAAACAGAUAAAUCUAGCCGAUUACCCUAUUGGUAGAAAGUUUGAUGUGGAGUCUCAGUCAUCUGCCCAUGAAGGGGGGACACUCUCAGAGAGGAGGUCAGUGAUCUGUGACAUAUCUCCAUUAAGGCAGCUUGUCAGAGAUCCUGGCCCUCACCCAAUGGGGCACAUGGGUCCUGAGGGCAGAAGUGGAAGGAGUGAACGUCUUGCCCCUGGCUUGAGCCAGUCGGUAAUACUCCCUGGUGGUUUAGUAUCCAUGGAAACCAAGAUGAAAGCUCAUAGUGGGCAAAUAAAAGAAGAAGACUUUGAACAGUCAAAGAGCUCAGCUAGUCUCAAUAGUAAAAAAACAGGAGACCAUUGUCAUCCUGCUGGCAUCAAGCAUGAAUCUUUCCGAGGCAAUGCUAGCCCUGGAGCUGCAGUUUCCGAUGCUGCUCCAGACUACAUUCCCCAGCAGGACAGCAGAUCAAUGCAGAUGAGACGAGGACCUGGCAGAACUGGAAGCAGCAGGGGCAAAUCACCUUCUCAGUUUCAGGAUCUUGCUGAUAAGCUGAAAAUGUCACCAGGCAGAAGCAGAGGUCCAGGGACAGAUCUGCAUCACAUGAACCCACAUAUGACGCUGUCUGAAAGAGUCAACAGAGCUUCCUUGCAUUCUGCUUACCCUCAGAAUUCAGAAGGCCCGUCUUUGGCUUCAGCAUAUCACACAAAUGCUAGGCCUCAUGCUUUCAGUGACCCUAACCAGAGUUUAAAUUCCCAGUACCAUUACAAGAGACAGAUGUACCAGCAACAGCAAGAAGAGUACAAAGAUUGGGCAAGCAGCGCUGCUCAGGGUGUGAUUGCUGCAGCUCAGCACAGGCAGGAAGGAGCAAGGAAAAGCCCAAGACAACAGCAGUUUCUGGAAAGAGUGAGGAGUCCUGUAAAAAAUGACAAGGACGGAAUGAUGUACUUUCAGGGUAGCUCUUAUCACGAUACUGGAAGCCAGGAAGCUGGCCGCUGUGUUAUGGGGGGUGACAGUACUCAGAGCAAAUGUACCGAACUGAAACAUGGCAACCAGAAGUUGCAGCAUCAUGAAUCUGGUUGGGACCUCUCUCGGCAAACUUCUCCAGCCAAAAGCAGUGGCCCUCUUGGACCCAAUCAGAAAAGAUACUGCCCUCAAGAAAGCGAUGGGCAUCGACGAGAAGAAUCUGCAGAUUUGCCCAAGCCAAGCAAUGCCAUGCUUAGGCUUCCUGGCCAGGAAGACCAGUCUCCUCAAAAUCCAUUAAUUAUGAGGAGGAGAGUCCGUUCUUUCAUCUCGCCUAUCCCUACCAAAAGACAGCCACAUGACAUGAAGCACAGUGGCAGUGAAGAUAAAGGGCGUCUGAUGACUUCAGCAAAAGAAGGAGCUGAUAAAACGUACAACUCCUACGCCCAUUCAUCUCAAAGCCAAGAUGUUGGCAAGUCGGUUGCAAAGGGAGAUUCCUUCAAGAAUCUGCCGAGUCCUGAUAAUAGGAAUUGCCCUGCUGUUUCCCUCACAAGCCCGGCUAAGACCAAGAUACUGCCUCCAAGAAAGGGGCGAGGAUUAAAACUGGAAGCUAUUGUUCAAAAAAUUACAUCUCCUAAUAUUAGGAGAAGCGUUUCUACCAACAGUGCUGAAACUGGUGCAGAUGCUGUCACUCUUGAUGACAUCCUGUCCCUUAAGAGUGGACCUGAAGGAGGAAAUAUGACUGGACAUGGAGCAGAGGCUGAAAAGAGAAAAGGAGACGUGUCAGAUCAAGUGGGGCCAGCCAGCCAGGACACAACUGGCGAAGUAACUCUUCCAAGAUCCUCAGAAGAGUGGCAAAGCAGUGAGGAUGAUAAAAACAAGAAAAAGGUCCCUGAAACUGCCAGUGUUGGUAAAGAAGGAGCAGGAUCCAGUGCAGCAGCACCAUCUUCUCAGAAAUCAUUUGGUCAGGGAAGAUCGGAGGGAUCUGUAAGCGGAGCUGGAACUCUGACCUUUUCUGACUCAAAACCGAUCUCCCCUUCCAGUGUGUUUACUUCUGAACCAAAUCCAAAGGCUGAGGAAAAAGAUGGAGAUGUGACAAACAUUUCGCCCAAGCCAGAUGGUUUCCCUCCAAAGGGAUAUUUUCCCUCUGGAAAGAAAAAGGGGAGGCCAAUUGGGAGCGUAAACAAGCAGAAGAAGCAACAGCAGCAACAACAGCAGCAGCAACUGCCCCCGCCACCACCACCCCCACCGGUACCUUCGCAGUCUUCAGAAGGGGAAGCUGUUGCUGAGCCAAAGCCCAAGAGGCAAAGGAGGGAGAGGAGAAAACCUGCAGCACAGCCACGGAAGCGGAAGCCUAGACGGGCUGCUCCGAUUGUGGAGCCUCAAGAACCAGAGAUCAAGCUUAAAUAUGCUACCCAGUCUGUAGAUAAAACUGACUCCAAGAAUAAGUUCUUUUUCCCUUAUAUUCACGUGGUAAACAAGUGUGACUUAGGCGCUGUGUGCACAAUCAUUAAUGCAGAGGAAGAAGAGCAGAACAAACUGGUGAGAGGUCGGAAAGGACAGCGGUCUUCAACACCCCCUCCUAGCAAUGUGGAGAGCAAAGUGCUGCCCACCUCAACUUUCGUGCUGCAAGGCCCUGUGGUAACAGAGUCUUCUGUCUUGGGGCCUCUGGUUUGCUGCCUGUGCGGCAAAUGGGCCAACUAUCGUAACAUGGGUGACCUCUUUGGCCCUUUCUACCCCCAGGAUUAUGCAGCCACCUUGCCCAAGAACCCACCUCCAAAGAGGGCCACAGAAAUGCAGAGCAAGGUCAAGGUACGCCACAAAAGUGCUGCUAAUGGUUCCAAGACAGAUACGGAAGAGGAAGAGGAACAGCAACAACAGAAGGAACAAAGAAGCCUAGCUGCUCAUCCCCGCUUUAAGAGGCGGCACCGCUCUGAGGACUGUAGUGGAGCCUCUCGGUCACUUUCAAGGGGACCUGCUUGUAAAAAGGCAACCACUGAUGGUGGCAGUGGUGGUGAAAAGACUCCUUUGGACUCAAAACCAUCUAUGCCCACUUCAGAAGGUGGCACUGAGCUGGAGUUACAUAUUCCUGUACUACCUCUUGACAGCAAUGAAUUUUGGGUCCAUGAGGGUUGUAUUCUCUGGGCCAAUGGAAUCUACCUGGUCUGUGGCAGGCUCUAUGGGCUGCAGGAAGCUGUGGAAAUGGCAAAAGAGAUGAAAUGUUCCCAUUGCCAGGAAUCGGGAGCCACCUUAGGCUGCUACAUCAAAGGCUGCUCCUUCCGAUACCAUUACCCAUGUGCCAUCGAUGCAGAUUGUUUACUAAACGAAGAGAAUUUCUCAGUGAGGUGCCCCAAGCACAAGCUAUGGUGCUUGAACCUCGGAAGGAAACGACAGACUCCAGCCUCCCGAAGAAGAUACUGAGCAGGCACAUCGAUUUCCAAAAACAAGAUGGUGAAAGGCAGCCUCAGCACAGAGCAGUCGGAGCGGGGGUGAGGGGGGAAGUAUACUCCUGGGAAUGGAAAUAAAAGCAAGCACAGGUUAGGCUGUUGAGAUAAAAAGCGGUGGACAUUCGUGACUGAAUGGAAUCUCUCCCACUGUGCAGCCAUGCCCCCUCUCGACGUGCCUGCCAAUGCCAGCACUUCCUUCAUAAAUUCUUACAUCACACUCAAGACUGAGGACAUCACAGAAUCUGACCAAGGAGUCUGAACCAGCUGUUUCCAUGGACACAAUCUCCAUAGUGACAGUGGGAAGGGGAGGGGGAAAAAGGAAACAGGUGGGGGGAAUUAAAGAGGGAGGGAUAAAUAUAUAUAUAUAUAUAUAUAUAUAAAGAUCUAUUUUUUAGUCUUGAAAGACUUUGUUUUAAAUGAAAGGUGCGCUAUAUCCCUUUUGAUGCUUUUGAUUAAAAUUACCAAAACCCCAUAUAAAUUAAAAAAAGAAAACUGUAGCUAAAGUAAAUAUUAAGUCCAAAAUCAAAGCAAGGCUUAUGGAGCCUAACAUUUUGUGGGAAAGAAGAGCAGAACUGGGAAUACUCCAAAUAGGACUUGUCUCCCUUCCUCUUGCUUGCUUUCUCACAACAUCCAAGGCAGUUCGAUUUUAAAAGGCAGAUAAAAGCAUGAAAAAUUGUAGGGUCUGGGAAGAAGGCUUGGAUGGUUGCAGGUGAUGGGGUGUCAGUACUUGUAUGUGCAGGGUAGGGAGGUUAUCGUUUUUGAGAAACACUGUUAAAACAUCUGAACACUCUUGAAUCAUGAGACUCAUGAAGUAAGAGAUGGCUGCUGCUUGCUAGAUCCCGCACAUCUUGUUUGUGUGGGAAUGUCUGUACCAUGCAGUUGGAAGGGCUGUCCGCCCUUUGUGGUGGCAACAUGCACUCCCAAAUCAUUGCAAGGCACUGCCUUCGGUCUUGAAGGCAGGUGAAAGGAAGAUACAGUUUACCUGCCAGAUGGGGGAGCUGGAAAGGAAGUCUGAAUGUUCUUGGAGUCAGUGUGUCUUCAAACUGAUCAGAAAAUCCACUUGGCCCUUUUAUUAAUUUAUGUUUUGCUUUUCCUGAGGAAGGAAGAGGGAAUGUCAGUGUAACAGCCUACAUGGUGUGGGUAUUUGGGGUGGUUUUGUUUUGGUUUUGGUUUGGUUUGUUUUUUUUUUUUUUGUAAAUUAUGUAAUUUUAAAACAUUUGGGUUUGUAAGGAACUACAACAAAAUCCUAUUUUUUUUUUUCUUGUUAAGGCCUUAAGAAAGGGUUUAGUGCAUCUUUCAGGGGUCACUCUGCCAUGGGAAUAAAAUAGCUGUUUCACAAACAGUUUUAUAUAAAAAAAGCUUAAAAAAAACCAAAAAAACUAAUAAACUUCAUUUUAAUCUUG